AGUACGACUGCCGUCUUAGGACUUGAUGAAGCCAGCCUUUCCUUCAGGAUAACGAUGUGGAACGGCAGAUCAUCCCGGGCUGCAAGCAGGCGUGCAGGAGGAGCAGGACACCGGAGCAAACUUGGCUCGAUGGACUGAGGCAGUAUGCGAAUUUAGGAGAAGAUGAGCUUACUUUCUCUUCAGAUUAUGUAUUUUACACCCUAUAAAGCUUUAGGAACAAAUAAGCAAUCAGCGGGAUAAAAUGACUGCACCAGCAGACAAGGAAGGCUGAAGCAGCAGCUGCUCGGGAGCCACCCGCACCCUUCUCAGCACAGACAACUUCACAUAAAAGUGCGGAGGAUGCAUCCAUCCCUGAUCCUGGCCAGUAGCGAGCGGUCACCCCAGUGUGACAGGCAUGAACACACUCCUGUCUUACAAGCUCCAUUUUGGCUACAAGCACAGCCCUGUACUCCUUUCCUAGAAAGUAAGUACUCUUAUUCUUUCCACACAUAUUUACCUCUCAAGCUUUCUUAA
rnacentral:lncRNA from 1 species